AGGUCAUGUUGAGGACAAUUUCUUAAUAAACCUUUAUAGCGUUCCCAUGCCUUGUGAAGUGACUCCACUGGCUGUUGCUCAAAGUUAGAUAUCUCCUUCUUGAGUUU